UAGUGUUAUAGCUCUUGUAGAAUUUGUCUAGCAGUUCUUCCAGUUCUCACAGGACUGCCCCC
rnacentral:snRNA from 1 species